rnacentral:rRNA from 1 species
GGAUGAACGUUGGCGGUGUGCCUAAUACAUGCAAGUCGAACGGAGUUAGUAGCAAUACUGGCUCAGUGGCGAACGGGUGAGUAACGCGUUGGUGAUCUGCCUUGAAGUGUGGAAUAACGUUUCGAAAGGAACGCUAAUACCGCAUGUGCUCUCGAUUUUCAGAAAGUUGAGAGUAAAGGAUUUAUUCGCUUCAAGAGGAGCCUGCGUCCCAUCAGCUGGUUGGUAGGGUAACGGCCUACCAAGGCUAUGACGGGUAGGGGACCUGAGAGGGUGGCCCCCCACAAUGGAACUGAAACACGGUCCAUACACCUACGGGAGGCAGCAGUGAGGAAUAUUGGUCAAUGGGCGCAAGCCUGAACCAGCCAUCCCGCGUGCAGGAAGACGGCGCUAUGCGUUGUAAACUGCUUUUCCAGGGAGAGAAACUUGCGCACGUGUUGCGCAAUUGACGGUACCCUGGGAAUAAGCAUCGGCUAACUCCGUGCCAGCAGCCGCGGUAAUACGGAGGAUGCGAGCGUUAUCCGGAUUCAUUGGGUUUAAAGGGUGCGUAGGCGGACUAUUAAGUCAGUGGUGAAAUCCUGCAGCUUAACUGCAGAACUGCCAUUGAUACUGAUAGCCUUGAGUUUGGUUAAGGUAGGCGGAAUGUGUAAUGUAGCGGUGAAAUGCUUAGAUAUUACACAGAACACCAAUUGCGUAGGCAGCUUACUGAGCCGACACUGACGCUGAGGCACGAAAGCGUGGGGAUCGAACAGGAUUAGAUACCCUGGUAGUCCACGCCGUAAACGAUGAUUACUCGCUGUUGGCGAUACACUGUCAGCGGCUAAGCAAAAGCAAUAAGUAAUCCACCUGGGGAGUACGGCCGCAAGGUUGAAACUCAAAGGAAUUGACGGGGGCCCGCACAAGCGGAGGAACAUGUGGUUUAAUUCGAUGAUACGCGAGGAACCUUACCUGGGCUUAAAUGUAGAGUGCAUUUUCUAGAGAUAGAAAUUCCCUUCGGGGCUUUCUGCAAGGUGCUGCAUGGUUGUCGUCAGCUCGUGCCGUGAGGUGUCGGGUUAAGUCCCAUAACGAGCGCAACCCUUAUCGUUAGUUGCCAUCUGGUAAAGCAGGGGACUCUAGCGAAACUGCCACCGUAAGGUGAGAGGAAGGUGGGGAUGACGUCAAAUCAGCACGGCCCUUAUGUCCAGGGCUACACACGUGUUACAAUGGUCGGUACAGAGGGCAGCUACCUGGUGACAGGAUGCUAAUCUCGAAAACCGGUCUCAGUUCGGAUCGAAGUCUGCAACUCGACUUCGUGAAGCUGGAUUCGCUAGUAAUCGCGCAUCAGCCAUGGCGCGGUGAAUACGUUCCCGGGCCU